UUUAAUUACAAGUGUGCUCCUGGUGGUCUUUAACUGAAGGGCACUGACUGGGUCACUGGUGAAGUUCCCCGCAGGAACUGAGUCAGACCCCAUCUCAGGGCCCUGCACAAGAUAGGUGCCUGCUCUAAGGCGUGGACCCUCGCGACAGCCCUGGCCGGUCUUGACGGGCGAGGGUUACUGUACUUGUCCCAACCGUAUAGAUGAGAAAGCUGAGACUCAGGGCGAGCAACCCGGGUCCCAGCGGAGCACCCGGCACGCGCCGACACUUCAGCGCCAGCCGCGGUGGCCACCAUUGUGCUCGGAGAUGGCUGCGACGCGUGCGCAGGCGAAUGGCAGGCAUCCAGAUCUCCAAGAAUAGAGGAUUAGGAGAGACUCCACCACCUAUGUCCUCACAGUUAAUUAUCGAUUUGUGUCACUUGCCCAUUUUCUCACUUCCUGUUUGUGUGUCAAGGAGUAUUAAUAAAUCUUUGCCUAUUUAAAGAUAUUAGCCUUGGAUUUUCAAAUAUUGCAUAUUUUGACAUGUACAAAUUUGUUAGUUUUAUUUUUUCAACCGAUCUGACCUGUACAGUUGGGCUUGAGGAAGCUUCCUCAUUCUACAUGUUACUAUGGAUUUUCUAAUAUUAACGCAGGGUUGUAUUUUUUCCAUAUAACUUUCUGUUGAAUUUCUUUUUCCAUAUGAUAGGUGGUGAAGGUUUAGCCCAGUAAAGCAGAGAGGUUAAGAGGUUAGACUGGGGGCUCUGGAGCCAGACCUAUGUAGACCUGAGUCCUGGCUCUGGCACUUGAAAGCCGUGUGACCUUGGUUAAGAUACUUAGCCCCUCUCUGCCAAAUGGAGAAAUAAGGGCACCUACCCCAUAGGGUAGUUGUGUGAUUACACAAGUUAAUACACUUCAAUCACUAGCAAGAAAGGGAAUGUCAAGCUGUAUUUGUUCAGGCAGCCAUAUGGUAGCCCCACCUCAUUAGUAAACUGAGGUAUUGAAGUAUCUUCUUUUUCUUUCAGAAAAUAUUUGUCAAGCACCUUCUGUGUUCUAAGAACUGUUCUAGAGCUUUGCAUGCUAUGGAGGUCUAGAAAUUCACAUUAUGGUGGCAGGUGACAGACAAUACAAAGAGAUAAAGCAAUUUCAUAUAGUGAUAAGCUAGGGAGGAGUGCUAAAAGGAGCCAAGGUGUAGUGGUGACUGGAAGGUGACCAGGGAAACAGCUUCUAGGGUUUCUAAGUGAUGAGAUCUGUGACAAAUCCCUGUGGUCAGCAGCAGGCAUUGGAUAUGAAACUUUAUUCUGUCCCAUUGAUCUUGUAGUCAACCCUGGUCUGUUCUGUAUUGUUUUAAUUACAUAAUCUUUGUAAUAAUCUUUAAUACCUGGUGGAGUGCUCUGUUUACUUAUUUCUGCAUAAUUAACCACCUCUAAGCUUAACUUACUCAUGGUUCUGCAGGGUGACUGCUCUCCAUGGUUCUAGGUGGUUCUGCUACACCUAGAACAUGUGCUACAGUCAAACAUUAGUCGGGGCCACAGUCAUCUGAAACUCACUUACACGGCUUACAAUUGAUGUUGGCUGUUGCCUGGAGAAGACAUAUGUGGCCUGGUGGAAUGGAAUGGUGAUGGUGACUAGAUUCAAGAAAGAGCUUCCCAGGAGCAAGGCUACCAAGAGACGGAAGCAGAGGCUUCAGUUUCUUUAAAAAAAAAAAAAAAAUCGGGCCAGGCACGAUGACUCACGCAUGUAAUCCCAGCAUUUUGGGAGGCCAAGGCAGGCAGAUCACAAGGUCAUGAGAUCGAGACCAUCCUGGCCAACAUAGUGAAACCCGUCUCUAAUUAAAAAAAAUACAAAAAUUGGCUGGGCAUGGUGGUGUGAACCGGUAGUCCCAACUACUCGGGAGGCUGAGAUGAGAAUCUCUAGAACCUGGGAGGCGGAGGUUGCAGUGAGCUGAGAUUGCACCACUGCACUCCAGCCUGGCAAUAGAGCGAGACUCCAUCUCAAAAAAAAAAAAAAAAUCCCAUAGUAGAAUUCCCAGAAUGGAAUUUAUGUCAUAUUCUAUGGAUUGAGCAAGUUGCAAGGCAGCCAGAUUCAAGGGGAGGGGAGCUAUUCCUCACCUCUUGAGAAGUAAUGUGUGUUGAGGAAGGGAAAGAAUUGAUGGUAGCUGUCUUUGACUUCUACCAUACAGAGCAAGGUCUCCACACUCCUUUCUCCUGUAAUAAUUUUCCAUUUGAAAAUUUUCCUUGCAAUUCUCACACCUUUAUUAUUUCGUAUAAAUUUAACAAUCAAUUUUUUUCUUGUCUACAUAACCAUGCCAUUUAGAUUAAAAUUGCAUUACAUUGCAACUUUUGAGAAACUAUGGGAGGAGAAUUGGCAACCUUAUAAUAUUGAAUUUGCUCAUUAAGGAACACAGUUUCUCUGUUUAUUUAGGUGUUAUAUUUUUCAUAACAUACAUGUUCGUAUUUCUACCCAGGCUUUUCUCUUUGUUUUGUCAUGUAACCCAUGAAUAAGACUGCACUGUCUGUGUGAUUGGGCAGUUGCCCAAAGUUUAAGGUGUUACCAUGCAUUAAUUCACUUAAUCACUCCUCAUUUCCUCCUUCCCUCAACCUCUGACAACCACGAAUCUGCUUUCUGUCUCUAGAUUUGCCUAUUCUGGACAUUUUAUAUAAAUGUGUCAUCCAAUAUCUGGUCUUUUCUGACUUGCUUCUUUCACUUAGCAGGAUUCUACGGUUUAUUGAGGUUCAUUCAUUGUGUAGCCUGUAUCAGUACUUCAUUCCUGUUUAUGGCUGAAUAAUGUUCCACUGUAUGUACAUGUGUAUGUAUACCACACUUUGUAUAUCCAUUUAUUUCCUGGAGGAUAUCUGGGUUAUUUACAGUAUAUUUCAGGAGUCCCCAAGAUCAUCCUCCCCCUUGAUCUACUGCUCUUUGUAUCUUAUAUGACCUGUGGAGAACUAUUUAUCUGGAAAUUAGGUGAUGGUUAACUAAAUAUAGUUCUUCUAAAGACUCAUUUUCCAUUGCCAUUACAUCCUGAGGAGACUUUAACUCAAUCUCCCAAUACAUUUGAUCAUCAAUAUCAGUAUUACCACAUGACUUAUUUGCAUGAGGUAAUCAAAUCUAACCAGCCAUGCCAGUGUUACCCAUAUUGCAUGUUGUGGUAGUAGAUGCAGCCCCCCAAAAUAAAAGUCAAAAGAUGCUGGCACAUUCCUGAGGUUCUUCUCAGCCACUAACAAUUGGUGCAGUUCAUCAUCACCUGGAAUGACCAAAAUGUCUCCCAUGGAAAUAUGGCUCAGCUCUGUGGGCUUCCAUUUAACUUUGUCAGGUUCUGAGGCAGGGCUGGCUUGAGUGGUCUUGUUUCCACUUUGGCUAUGAUGAAUAAUGCUGCUGUGAACAUUCAGGUAUACGUUUUUGUGUGGUUUCAUUUCUUUUAAGUAUAUACCUUGGAGUGUAAUUA